rnacentral:snRNA from 3 species
AGCUUUGCGCAGUGGCAGUAUCGUAGCCAAUGAGGUUUAUCCGAGGCGCGAUUAUUGCUAAUUGAAAACCAUCCCUCUUUCCUUUACUUACAGACUUUCGGCCUUAGUUCAUAAUCU